rnacentral:rRNA from 1 species
UAAUUGAAGAGUUUGAUCAUGGCUCAGAUUGAACGCUGGCGGCAGGCCUAACACAUGCAAGUCGGGC